rnacentral:rRNA from 1 species
UCUGUUUGAUCCCGGCGGAGGCCACUGCUAUCGGAGUUCGAUUAAGCCAUGCGAGUCGAGAGGUGCAAGACCUCGGCAUACUGCUCAGUAACACGUGGACAACCUACCCUAAGGAGGGGGAUAACCCCGGGAAACUGGGAUAAUACCCCAUAGACUAUGAAUGCUGGAAUGCUUUGUAGUUGAAAGGUCCGCCGCCAUAGGAUGGGUCUGCGGCCGAUUAGGUUGUUGUUGGGGUAACGGCCCAACAAGCCUGUAAUCGGUACGGGUUGUGGGAGCAAGAGCCCGGAGAUGGAUUCUGAGACACGAAUCCAGGCCCUACGGGGCGCAGUAGGCGCGAAAACUUUACAAUGCGGGAAACCGUGAUAAGGGAACUCCGAGUGCCCGUAAAAUCGGGCUGUCCAUCUGUUUAAAUAACAGGUGAAGAAAGGGCCGGGCAAGACCGGUGCCAGCCGCCGCGGUAAUACCGGCGGCUCGAGUGGUGGCCACUAUUACUGGGCUUAAAGCGUUCGUAGCUGGUCUGUUAAGUCUCUGGGGAAAUCUACUGGCUUAACCAAUAGGCGUUUCAGGGAUACUGGCAGACUAGGGACCGGGAGAGGUGAGGGGUACUCCAGGGGUAGGAGUGAAAUCCUGUAAUCCUUGGGGGACCACCUGUGGCGAAGGCGCCUCACCAGAACGGCUCCGACAGUGAGGGACGAAAGCUGGGGGAGCAAACCGGAUUAGAUACCCGGGUAGUCCCAGCCGUAAACGAUGCGCGUUAGGUGUAUCGGUGACCACGAGUCACCGAGGUGCCGAAGAGAAAUCGUGAAGCGUGCCGCCUGGGAAGUACGGUCGCAAGGCUGAAACUUAAAGGAAUUGGCGGGGGAGCACCACAACAGGUGGAGCCUGCGGUUUAAUCGGACUCAACGCCGGAAAUCUCACCGGAUAAGACAGCUGUAUGAUAGUCGGGCUGAAGACUCUACUUGACUAGCUGAGAGGAGGUGCAUGGCCGUCGUCAGUUCGUACUGUGAAGCAUCCUGUUAAGUCAGGCAACGAGCGAGACCCA